AUUGAACGUUGGCGGCAUGCCUUACACAUGCAAGUCGAACGGCAGCACGGGAGCAAUCCUGGUGGCGAGUGGCGAACGGGUGAGUAAUAUAGCGGAACGUGCCCAGUCGUGGGGGAUAACGUAGCGAAAGCUACGCUAAUACCGCAUACGAUCUAUGGGUGGAAGGGGGGGAUCGCAAGACCUCGCGCGAUUGGAGCGGGCGAUAUCAGAUUAGGUAGUUGGUGAGGUAAAGGCUCACCAAGCCGACGACCUGUAGCUGGUCUGAGAGGACGACCAGCCACACUGGGACUGAGGCACGGCCCAGACUCCUACGGGAGGCAGCAGUGGGGAAUUUUGGACAAUGGGCGCAAGCCUGAUCCAGCAAUGCCGCGUGCAGGAUGAAGGCCUUCGGGUUGUAAACUGCUUUUGUACGGAACGAAACGGUGAGCUCUAAUACAGUUUGCUAAUGACGGUACCGUAAGAAUAAGCACCGGCUAACUACGUGCCAGCCGCCGCAGUAA
rnacentral:rRNA from 1 species